ACAUGAAGCUUCAUGUUGGAGCUGAAGAGCUGCUGUGUUCUCUCUGUUCUUCAUUCAGUACCAGUGAAAAGAAUGUUGCUGCUUCUCAUCUGGAUGAUGAUGGUCUCCUUUCAAACUGGAUCCUCUGAGGAUUUACUGAAACCAUUGAAAGAUGAACUGAUGGCUUUGGAAGGAGACACUGUCACUAUCUCCUGCAAAUAUUCUGGUUCUAUACAGUUUUUCUACUGGUACCAACAGAAGUCCAGUUCAUCUCCACAGUUUCUGAUUAAAGAAUAUUCAGAUGAAACAGAGAAGUUCUCAGUGAAACACGACAAACAGAAACAGGAGUUUCAUCUGCAGAUCUCCUCUGCUGCAGUGACAGACUCUGCUGUGUACUACUGUGCUGUGGAGCCCACAGUGACAGGAAACAACUAAACUUUGUACAAAAUCCUGCAGAGAAAACACAAUACUACACAACAUCCACUAGAGGGCGUCACACACUGUGAAGGGACUGCAGAUUCUGUGAUUUGACAGAUGUAAAUUAAAAGAGAAAUGAAGCACUAAAGAUCAGAGACAGAGCUGUUGUGGAAGCACUAAACUGUUUGAUUGAUUGAGCUGAAAUGAAAAAGAGCUCAUUGGCUCCGCCCACUGAACUUCAGAUCAGCCAUUCACAUUAUUUCUUCUUCAUUGUGCUGCAGUGGAAGAACAGAGUUCAUCUGCUGUCUGUGUGGCUUCAAGAACUCCAAAGACAUGUUGCUUUACCUCUUUUUGCUUCUGUAUCACAUUCUAGGACUCACAGCUGGAGACUCAAUCUCUCCUGAUCAAGAUCAACUUACAGGAACUGAAGGAAAAUCUGUUACAAUGAAAUGUAACUAUCAGACAGCCGACAGCGGUCCUUGGCUUUAUUGGUACAAACAUGAUUCUGAUCUUCAGGCUCCUCAGUUUAUUCUUAGGAAAGGAGGAAAAAGUUCCACAAGUGAACUUAUUCCAGAUAAACGAUAUGAAUCUAGAACAACAGACACAUCAACUGAACUGAUCAUCAGAAAGUUAACCCUGGCAGACACAGCUCUCUACUACUGUGCUAUAGACACACAGUGAUCCAAAGUGUAGAAGAGGCUGUACAAAAACCUGAAGACAGAUAUGGGACUACUCUUCAAAGAGGAGGGAAGUGGUUUUCAAAGCACAGCUUCAUAUCAGAUGGAUUCUGUUCAUUCCUGUUUGAUCAGAGUCUCUGUGGUUACAGCUGCUAAUGAAACACUGUGGGAGGAUUCACAUGAGCAGAUGAUCCACAUCAACCAAGAAACAUCUACAUGAAGGUAUUAAGACUCACAGUUCAUCAUUACAGACUUUGAUGUCUGUGAUGAAGAAGAAAGCCGGUAAAUAGUGAAAUGACCUAGAAGAUCCUGUAUCAUGCUACUUUAAGCAUUUC